CACACCCCAAGCUGAGCUUGAUGUUGGACGCUGUCUGUUACAGGACAGGUCUGGAACGCGUGGGCGCCGCCGCCGGACCACGAGCGUAGCAAGACGCAAGUCAUCGCUCUGUGGACUCUGGUGGGCGGUCGUCGAGACGUUGGGUAAGACCGACAUCGAAACACUUAUACAA
rnacentral:misc_RNA from 1 species